rnacentral:rRNA from 1 species
GAUGAACGCUGGCGGCGUGCUUAACACAUGCAAGUCGAACGAAGCACUUUAUUUGAUUUCCUUCGGGACUGAUUAUUUUGUGACUGAGUGGCGGACGGGUGAGUAACGCGUGGGUAACCUGCCUUGUACAGGGGAUAACAGUUGGAAACGGCUGCUAAUACCGCAUAAGCGCACGGCAUCGCAUGAUGCAGUGUGAAAAACUCCGGUGGUAUAAGAUGGACCCGCGUUGGAUUAGCUAGUUGGUGAGGUAACGGCCCACCAAGGCGACGAUCCAUAGCCGACCUGAGAGGGUGACCGGCCACAUUGGGACUGAGACACGGCCCAAACUCCUACGGGAGGCAGCAGUGGGGAAUAUUGCACAAUGGGCGAAAGCCUGAUGCAGCGACGCCGCGUGAGCGAAGAAGUAUUUCGGUAUGUAAAGCUCUAUCAGCAGGGAAGAUAAUGACGGUACCUGACUAAGAAGCACCGGCUAAAUACGUG